rnacentral:rRNA from 1 species
AAUAUUGGACAAUGGGGGCAACCCUGAUCCAGCCAGGCCGCGUGUGUGAAUAUGAUCUUCGGUUUGUAAAGCACUUUAAGUUGGGAGGAAGGGCUUUAGGCUAAUACCCUGAAGUUUUCACGUUACCAACAGAAUAGGCACCCGCUAACUCUGUGCCCGCAGCCGCGGUAAUACAGAGGGUGCAAGCGUUAAUCGGAAUUACUGGGCGUAAAGCGCGCGUAGGUGGUUCAGUAAGAUGGGUGUGAAAUCCCCGGGCUUAACCUGGGAACUGCUUUCAUAACUGCUGAGCUGGAGUACGGUAGAGGGUAGUGGAAUUUCCUGUGUAGCGGUGAAAUGCGUAGAUAUGGGAAGGAACACCAGUGGCGAAGGCGACUACCUGGACUGAUACUGACACUGAGGUGCGAAAGCGUGGGGAGCAAAC